rnacentral:RNase_MRP_RNA from 19 species
CCUUUGCUCAACAAAUCGCCAUUCGAAGCUUACAAACGGAGAUGCUGCUUGCCAGCGCCUCGUGAGAUCACGGCUUUGGGAGAAAGUCCCCGGACGUCUCCUUUUCGGAGCAUGCGGAAACGCGCCGCCAUAGAAGCACUGCGGCUGACCUCCGCGCCUUGGCCCAGCUGAGGCAUCUGCCCUGCCUGCUGCUAAAUCCGUCUUUGCGAGACAUUUGCCAACCCUGUUUCUGCGCCUCUGGCCCCCAUGGAUGAAGAUAUGAGUCCGAGCUGGAUAGCUGUGGGAGCAGGGCCGCGUCGAUGUCGACCAAGGGUGGAUGGUAGGCGGACGUUUUGGUGUCUCGGCUGCGGUAUCGGGUGCAGAGGAUUUGUUGUCGAGGUCGAUAGUUAUGCGAUUGCCCGGCGCAAGCUUGGUUACUCGAUGGGGCCCAUUCUUGAUGCAAAG